UAAGACGAACCAUCCAAACGUUAUUCGGAAUUACUGGGCUUAAAGGGUGCGUAGGCUGCGCAGAAAGUUGGGUGUGAAAUCCCUCGGCUUAACCGAGGAACUGCGCCCAAAACUACUGUGCUUGAGGGAGACAGAGGUGAGCGGAACUUAGGGUGGAGCGGUGAAAUGCGUUGAUAUCCUAAGGAACACCCGUGGCGAAAGCGGCUCACUGGGUCUCUUCUGACGCUGAUGCACGAAAGCUAGGGGAGCGAACGGGAUUAGAUACCCCGGUAGUCCUAGCCGUAAACGAUGAGCACUGGAUUGGAGGGUCCUCCAUAGCCUUCCGAUCGCAGAGAAAUUGUUAAGUGCUCCGCCUGGGGAGUAUGGUCGCAAGGCUG
rnacentral:rRNA from 1 species